AUUUAAGAAAUACGACAACCAAGUAUGAUAUAGGAUCCUUUUUGGACCUUGAGUUGAACAAACUUAUAAGUCAUAUUUUUGGGUCAAUCAGAGAACAGCUAUGUUACAUGAUACUAAUGCCUGUUUGUUAAUUUUGAUGUUGUGGUAUUGUCGUGUUAUAUUUCAAGUAACCUUAUCUGUUAGAUAAUGCACACUGAGGCAUGUGUGGUAUCUGAUGUCUGGAAAUGUAUUUGUACAUAGUCUAGAAUUUAAAAGAAAAUAAAAAGCUGCUGUAUUUGAUGGGGAGAGCUUUAUUAAAAUUGUCAAAAUUUUUGUGAAGAUUAUUGUAGCUUAAAGAUUGCUGCAUUGGAACCAGUGGACUCUCCCCUCUACUGUGGUGUACAUUUGAAAAUAUCUGUAAUUAAGAUUUGUAAGUAAACCUUUCAAACUAUUAGCACAGUCUUUCAGCUUGAGGAAAAUGCAUGUAUCUGCACAUAGUUUUGAUAGCAUGGGACAUUAUCCAAGUUUCUUAAUACAAGCAUUAUUCUUUAGAAAUCAAGGUCUUAUAAUUCCAACUAGACAGAUGUUUGGGACUAUGAGCUUAGCAUGUGAAAAUGGUACAUGUCACAGAGCAAAUGUAGAUGAGAAUAUGUUGUGAGAAGAAAAAUAUCUGAGAAAACAUGUAACCUUUUAGAAUACAACACAUCCUCUGUAAAGUGUUUAGAAAGAGAGGCAGGUGCUCCCUGAGAAGAAGGAGCCAAGGGGUGGUUUAGUGAGAAAGAAGGAAUCCUGAGCACUUCUCAACACUUCCCCCAGUGCUGCAGAUUGAACUUGCAAGGCAACCGCUCCCCUGUGGAGCUACAUCCCCAGUGCAGGAGCCAUGAGCAUGGCUAAGGUUCCCCCUCCUCCCAGUGCACCCUGUGUUUACCCCACAAGACAGUCCUGCGCUCUGUGCACUCUGAGCUCACACUGUGCACGCUGAGUUGUCCACUUGCUGUCCACGUCCACCCACUGUCCGCUGUCCUGUAUGUAGAGUGCUGCCAUGAGGGCAGGGAUGGGCCCUGCAGCGUCACCUCCGUGCCCCAACAUCACGCUGUAACUCUUGGCACACAAGCACUCGAUGAGUAUUUUUCAGUCAAUUGAUUAAAUAAUUUGUUUUGUUUUGUUUUGUUUUGUUUUGUUUCAAAAUUAAUUCCCAAUCCUCUCUACCCUGUUCUACAUGAUAAAGGUUUGUUUUCAUUGAGAAAUAGCAAAUAAAGGCUUUGGACCCCUGAAGUUUAAAUACUAAAAUCCUCAUAACAAUGUUUUGUUCUUAAGGGACUGCAUGAAUUCGGAGGACAUUUUUAAUGCCUAAUAAUGCUCUAGGAAGUUCGCCAAAAACUCUGCCAUCACUAGGAGUUCAAACCUAGGGAACGUGUCCCUCCAAAUGUGUUAGAGAGUAUUUCAGCUCCUUCUGCGCGGGACGUACUGGCUUAUGCUGGCAUCUGUCUUUCCCACCUCCCCCCAAGGGAAGUGGCAGUUUCUUUUCAGGGUCAUCCACGAUUCCAGCUGUCUCUUUGGUGAGCGGAAGAUAGCCCUGCUUGUCUCCCCCAGCUCCUCCAGCUCUAAUGAGAGACAAUCUGUUCCACACGGAAGAGCUGCGCAGCAGGAAGAAAGCUGGUUUCUAUAAGGUGGAGACACAUAGAAUCGCUGAAUGCCAUUUUCAAGGACAAAAGGAAGAGAUCUGAGAGCUCUGCAAAGGAAUAGAGAAAAUAGCAAGAAAAAAUCCACCCUCCGUCCCAGCACCAAAGGACUUUCUGGUCCCAGGACAAUGACUGCCUCCUCCGUCGUCUCCCAUCACCUGUCCUUUAGGUGCAUCUGCCUCGCACUCUCACCAAACCUCUUCUUCACAGGGUCACCUAGAAAACAGGGGAGGGAGUGGAGGGGAAGACAGGGUCACCUUUACUGCAUCACUUGUUCCUUGAAGAAUGUGUAUAUUUAUUGUAUUUGUAGCCUCUCUCUAAACCAGAGCACAUGUCAAGGCAACUGGUUUGUGACCUUGACAUUUAUCCCACUACGAUAACUCUAGACAGACCUUUCCUAGAGAGAGAAAGCAAUGAAGUGGUACAGAACCGCUGGUUCCACCUGAGGUUCGCAUCGUUAUUGGGUCGUAUGUACUGAAUGUCUUACCCGGCCUAUUAUCUGUCUUUUCACAUGUGUGCUGUUUUUCAUUUUUAAUUGCUUUUAUUUACCAAAUGUCUUACUCAUUGCAUUAUCUAGUUUUUCAGAUGCUGUCUCUUUUUCAUUGCACUGCAUAGCGAGCCUACCAAAAUUGAUGCAGAGUGAAUUAAUAACCGACAAGUGUCAAGUACUCUGCAAGGUUGGACUCAAGAGUUUUCACAGCAAGAGAUGGGUGUUUCUUUAUAUCUUCACUCCCAUAACCACUGCUUUUUAAUAAGAACUGAAUGAUUUGCCCUUAAAAGGGAAAUUAUAAUGCUGAACAUUUAUUUGCAAGCAUCAACAAUGUGUUGUCAAAUAACUUCAGUUAUUCAAAACAAUAUUUCAGUGUCCUCCAUUUUCUAAAACAAACAAAUAAAUCCUUGGAUUUUUUUGUAAUUUAAAUAAUUUAUAUUAGUAUUUACAUUUUCAGAAAUAUCUAUGUGGAAAUAUUGGUAUUCCUAAUAUGUCCAUGGAAGGAAUUCACAAUGGAAAAUCAUCCCAAAAAGUAGAAAGUCAACAAUAGAUUGCAUAAACAAUAGAUUGUUUGGUAGAGUGUACUUUAUUAUUUAUUACAUUUCUGGUUUUCCUGUUCACAUUUCACCAUGUUUGCCCCUAUAAAUACUAGACAGAAAAAUAAUUAGUAUUUUUUCUUCUCUUCCAAGAAGCUGAGGCUGCUUUACUCGUGGCCAAGGAUGGAGUUAAAUAGAAUCCUAUAAUAAUACAGUUCACUACCUAGAUUCUAAGUGCUGUGGUACAACCACAUCCAGCAAAAGGUCAUCACUGCCCAGAGAGGAGCCCUUCCACAGCAACAGCCUAUUUUUUUCUGUUCAAACCAAUGUUUGGAAAAAAUGUGUUCCAUUUUCUCUGGAGGCUUUUGUUUUCCUUGUGAGCAAUACCUUGUUCUGCUGUCUACGCGACCACUAGAAUUUUAUCAGCACUAAUAAACGGCACAGACCAUCUC